rnacentral:rRNA from 1 species
AGGACGAACGCUGGCGGCGUGCCUAACACAUGCAAGUCGAACGAGGUCCAUCCGGUGGCAACACUGGUGAAGACCGAGUGGCGAACGGGUGAGUAACACGUGAGCAACCUGCCUCGAAGACUGGGAUAACCCCGGGAAACCGGAGCUAAUACCGGAUACCCCCACCGGGUCACAUGGCCUGGUGAGGAAAUGGAUUCCGCUUUGAGAGGGGCUCGCGGCCUAUCAGCUUGAUGGUGGGGUAGCGGCCCACCAUGGCACCGACGGGUAGCUGGUCUGAGAGGACGAUCAGCCACACUGGGACUGAGACACGGCCCAGACUCCUACGGGAGGCAGCAGUGGGGAAUCUUGCGCAAUGGGCGAAAGCCUGACGCAGCAACGCCGCGUGUGGGACGAAGGCCUUCUGGGUUGUAAACCACUUUCAGCAGGGACGAUUGUGACGGUACCUGCAGAAGAAGCCCCGGCCAACUACGUGCCAGCAGCCGCGGUAAUACGUAGGGGGCGAGCGUUGUCCGGAAUUAUUGGGCGUAAAGAGCUCGUAGGCGGCUUGGCAAGUCACGUGUGAAAUCUCCAGGCUCAACCUGGUGAUGCCACGUGAUACUGCCAUGGCUUGAGUCCGGUAGGGGACCAUGGAAUUCCUGGUGUAGCGGUGAAAUGCGCAGAUAUCAGGAGGAACACCAGUGGCGAAGGCGGUGGUCUGGGCCGGUACUGACGCUGAGGAGCGAAAGCGUGGGGAGCGAACAGGAUUAGAUACCCUGGUAGUCCACGCCGUAAACGUUGGGCACUAGGUGUGGGACCCUAUCGACGGGUUCCGUGCCGCAGCUAACGCAUUAAGUGCCCCGCCUGGGGAGUACGGCCGCAAGGCUA